GAGGUGAGGUGAGGGAGGUGAGGUGAGGUGAGGGAGGUGUGGGAGGUGAGGGAGGUGAGGUGAGGGAGGGGAGAUGAGGUGAGUGAGGUGAGGUGAGGGAGGUGAGGUGAGGUGAGG